UGAUAUUAGUACAUGACUUCUUUUUCAACUUUUAAAACUAUAGUUGUAGCUUUUUUAUGUUUUAUUUUUUAUUUAUUUUUUUUUUAGUUUUUAGACUUUUUCUGUUUUUUUUUUCAUCUAUACAACUUUUUCUUUUUCAAAUAUUAUUCUUACCUUUUCUUUUUUUUAUUUGUUCUUUUUGAAUACUUACAUCAAUUCAUUUA
rnacentral:lncRNA from 1 species